UAUUCUAAUCUAGCAUUGUAACUCAGUAGUGAAGCAGGAAUCCUUAGUAAUCUUUUGUUCGUUUCUUUUAGGUGAAGAAAAGAUAAGCUUUAUACAUACUGCCCGUCAAGCGCUGAGCUUAUAAAAUCUUUAUAUCAGUUAGGUAACGCAGUAUUAACUGUUUAUAUUUAAUGGUUGUUAAGUCGUAACAUGGUA
rnacentral:rRNA from 14 species